rnacentral:tRNA from 1 species
GGGGUCAUGGCGUAACCAGGUAGCGCGGCUGGCUCCAGACCAGCAUGUUAGAGUUCAAAUCUCUAUGACCCCA